rnacentral:rRNA from 1 species
UACGUAGGGGGCAAGCGUUGUCCGGAAUUACUGGGCGUAAAGAGCACGUAGGCGGUCUCUUAAGUCAGAUGUGAAAUAUGCCGGCUCAACCGGGAGGGUGCAUUUGAUACUGGGAGACUAGAGUGCAGGAGAGGAAAGUGGAAUUCCUAGUGUAGCGGUGAAAUGCGUAGAUAUUAGGAGGAACACCAGUGGCGAAGGCGGCUUUCUGGACUGUAACUGACGCUGAGGUGCGAAAGCCAGGGGAGCAAACGGG